rnacentral:rRNA from 1 species
CCUACGGGGGGCAGCAGUGAGGAAUAUUGGUCAAUGGGCGGAAGCCUGAACCAGCCAAGUCGCGUGAGGGAAUAAGGCCCUACGGGUCGUAAACCUCUUUUGCCGGGGAGCAAGGGCCGGGACGCGUCCCGGCCCGGAAAGUACCCGGAGAAAAAGCAUCGGCUAACUCCGUGCCAGCAGCCGCGGUAAUACGGAGGAUGCGAGCGUUAUCCGGAUUUAUCGGGUUUAAAGGGUGCGUAGGCGGGCUUUUAAGUCAGCGGUAAAAAUUCGGGGCUCAACCCCGUCCGGCCGUUGAAACUGGGGGC